GAUGAACGCUGACAGAAUGCUUAACACAUGCAAGUCAUUGGCGAAGCUGCGCUUGCGCAGUCUAGCCAAGGCGGACGGGUGAGUAACGCGUAAGGAACUUGCCCUGCAGACAGGGAUAACAGACGGAAACGACUGAUAACACCUGGUAUUGUCAGGCUGGCGCAUGCCGGCCUGAUGAAAGGAGACGCUGCAGGAGAGCCUUGCGUCCUAUUAGCUAGUUGGUGGGGUAACGGCCCACCAAGGCGAUGAUAGGUAGCCGGCCUGAGAGGGUGAACGGCCACAAGGGGACUGAGAUACGGCCCUUACUCCUACGGGAGGCAGCAGUGGGGAAUAUUGGAUAAUGGGGGCAACCCUGAUCCAGCAAUUCUGUGUGCACGAAGAAGGUUUUCGGAUUGUAAAGUGCUUUCAGCAGGGAAGAAGAAAGUGACGGUACCUGCAGAAGAAGCGACGGCUAAAUACGUG
rnacentral:rRNA from 1 species